rnacentral:rRNA from 1 species
UACGAAGGGGGCUAGCGUUGUUCGGAAUCACUGGGCGUAAAGGGCGCGUAGGCGGCUUUGUAAGUCGGGGGUGAAAGCCUGUGGCUCAACCACAGAAUUGCCUUCGAUACUGCAUGGCUUGAGACCGGAAGAGGUAAAUGGAACUGCGAGUGUAGAGGUGAAAUUCGUAGAUAUUCGCAAGAACACCAGUGGCGAAGGCGGCUUACUGGUCCGGUUCUGACGCUGAGGCGCGAAAGCGUGGGGAGCAAACAGG